ACCGGAAGGCUGAUGUCCUUUGUUCCUCACAGUUCGCUUUACAGUGGUGGCAGGGAGCUGUUAGACGCAUGUGUACAUGUUUGGCGUACAAGGGAAGAGAUUAAAGACUCACCUGUGUAUCUCACCAAUACUAUGAGAAAGAAUGCAGUCCCAGGACCUGUUGGCAGCCAUCUUGUAACCCGGCAGAAAAUCAGGCUUAGGAUAAAGCUGACACCACGAACAAACAGCAGAGCAAAGAGACGGAGUCCUUAGGGGCACCGUUGAGCUGGAUGAAACCAAUCUUGAAGCCUGCCCUACCUCUACACUUCCCACUUAUUAGAAAAAGAUGAAGAUGCAGAGGAAACCACCGUGGAUGUCCAACAGAAGUCAGACGGCCCCUUGCAGGGGCCUCAGGGGCAGUUGAACAGAUGAGCCCACCAAAGAAAAACUCUGGGGUGUCAAUCCAUCUGUGCAAGAAGGAGCAAUUGUGGAGUUCUGUGUUCUGAAGACAGAAAGCAGAACAAGCCACACUCUCUUUUUUUUCCUUUCACUUGAGGAGAUGAGAGCAUAUGAAAUUAAACAGCCAAUAGUAGAAACUGAAUCCAGCAAGUUUGCAAGGCAGAAAGAAACUUAGUCAAAUAGAAUUUCAUACCAUUUUUUUCACAGCUUUGGGAAUGUAGAUGGAAGAAUCUUUACUAAAAAUCUCCUUCUAAUUACUUUUUGGGCCAAACUGGGAUUGAAACAACUAAGGACUAGGGAAUAUUUUCAUUAAUCUCUUGUUUCCAAAGGCAAGACCAAAGAUCAAGUGUUCAUCUAGAGAAAUGUUAUCACCAAACUUAUUUAUUUAGUUGUUGCUGUCUGCUUUAUCGCUUAUAUAAUGUUAACAUUCUUUUCAAAUGGGCAGAUGGACCUCAUUCAAGUUCUGACAGUAACUCUUUGUUAUUGGUACAAAUGGCUUCAGAGGUAUUUAAUUACCAUUAGUAGUCAUCCGUUUGCUCCUAGCUAGUGACAUUUGGAAUAGUAAGCAGGCAGCAUUCUUUGUGUCCAGUGAGUUCAUAGAAAGUUAAACCUACUUUUGACAACAGACUCAAGCUUAGCUACCAUUAACCCCUCUUCAGUUACUGGAUGAUGUGUUUGAACAGUAUGAAUGAUUAAUGAAGGCUAAAUAGUCCAGUUUCUAUCUUAAAACCUUUUUGUUAACUGCCAGAGAGCUGAGGACUGGCAAGGUGAGUUCAGCUCAAGCAAGCAUUCGUGCAAUCUGUUGCUUCUACUCUGGCAGAAACACACAUACACACACACACACACACACAUUAAUAUGUCAACUAUUUAUUUCCAAGAGAUGUAAUAAAUCAGAAACUUUCAUCCUGAUGCCUUUUCCAGACCAGUACCAGGGACUGUGAUCUUUGCCAGCCUGGCAUCAGAAAGCAAAUUUUGCUUAUACAUCUAAUUGCAUGAUUGUUUCCUCUCAAGGAAACCAAGAUAAAAUGUUGUCAACUGGUAGCAACCCAUUACAAAGCUUCUAAAAGUAGCCUAUGAAUUUUGCUGCAGCAAAUUCUAGGAUUGUUCUUAGAGAAAGAGGAACAUAUCAUCCAUUAAGCUGAGAAAAUCACUUAUAUCUGGCAGCUUGUCAGAGAUAGGUAGAUGUGUAAAGAUGCUCAGGGCAUUUGCUGGUUGAUCUCUAAGAGGCAUCCCUACCAUUUACUCCUCCGGAGACAUAUUUUGGAAAAGAGAUUACGGAAGAGGCCGGUCAAAGCUGGAAGCUAGAAGGAGGCAGAGAUGAAGAAUGAAUGCAGAGGACUGAAAAGGUGAAGAUGACAGCUGACUCCAAGAGAGGGAAGCACGCAGGACGAGGAAGCAGCAUUUGUAAGGACAUUACACAGUCUGGGAACACAGUCUGACCAUACCUUUAUAUCUAUACUUUUAUUUGUUUUUUUGUCUUUUUAAUUUCUUUUUUUUAUUGUG